rnacentral:sRNA from 1 species
GAAACAUUUUAGAGUGAAGCCUGUUGUUUAUCCACAAGCAGCAAAUACGAGCGAUAGCUGCAGUGUGAGUUUCCCCACACUGUCCUGUUAAUGACCUCAACUCUGACCUUGGAAGUUCUCGUGAAAGAAAAGGGGAAAUUUAGUCCAGAUCUUUUAUAAUUGUUUCCU